rnacentral:rRNA from 1 species
GACGAACGCUGGCGGCGUGCUUAACACAUGCAAGUCGAACGGAAAGGCCCUGCUUUUGUGGGGUGCUCGAGUGGCGAACGGGUGAGUAACACGUGAGUAACCUGCCCUUGACUUUGUGAUAACUUCAGGAAACUGGGGCUAAUACCGGAUAGGAGCUCCUGCUGCAUGGUGGGGGUUGGAAAGUUUCGGCGGUUGGGGAUGGACUCGCGGCUUAUCAGCUUGUUGGUGGGGUAGUGGCUUACCAAGGCUUUGACGGGUAGCCGGCCUGAGAGGGUGACCGGCCACAUUGGGACUGAGAUACGGACCAGAAUCCUACGGGAGGCAGCAGUGGGGAAUAUUGCACAAUGGGCGGAAGCCUGAUGCAGCAACGCCGCGUGCGGGAUGACGGCCUUCGGGUUGUAAACCGCUUUCGCCUGUGACGAAGCGUGCGUGACGGUAAUGGGUAAAGAAGCACCGGCUAACUACGUG